GAUGAACGCUGGCGGCGUGCCUAAUACAUGCAAGUCGAGCGAACGGACGAGAAGUUUGCGUCUCUGAUGUUAGCGGCGGACGGGUGAGUAACACGUGGAUAACCUACCUAUAAGACUGGAAUAACUUCGGGAAACCGGAGCUAAUACCGGAUGAUAUUUUGAACCGCAUGGUUCAAAAGUGAAAGACGGUCUUGCUGUCACUUAUAGAUGGAUCCGCGCUGCAUUAGCUAGUUGGUAAGGUAACGGCUUACCAAGGCAACGAUGCAUAGACGACCUGAGAGGGUGAUCGGCCAGCCUGGAACUGAGACACGUUCCAGACUCCUACGGGAGGCAGCAGUAGGGAAUCUUCCGCAAUGGGCGAAAGCCUGACGUAGCAACGCCGCGUGAGUGAUGAAGGUCUUCGGAUCGUAAAGCUCUGUUAUUAGGGAAGAACAUAUGUUUAAGUACCUGUGCACAUCUUGACGGUACCUAAUCAGAAAGCCACGGCUAACUACGUG
rnacentral:rRNA from 1 species